rnacentral:sRNA from 1 species
ACUGUGGAGUGUACAAAAACUUGUGAGUAGUGCGUUGCCUGCAACCACCAAAACAUACACAGCGAAGCAGUAA